GAAGGGUAGAGCUCAGUGGUAGAGCACAUGCUUAGCAUGCCUGAGGGCUUGGGUUUAAUUCCCAAAACCUCCA
rnacentral:tRNA from 1 species